rnacentral:rRNA from 1 species
GAUGAACGCUGGCGGCGUGCCUAAUACAUGCAAGUCGAGCGAACAGAUGAGGAGCUUGCUCCUCUGACGUUAGCGGCGGACGGGUGAGUAACACGUGGAUAACCUACCUAUAAGACUGGGAUAACUUCGGGAAACCGGAGCUAAUACCGGAUAAUAUAUUGAACCGCAUGGUUCAAGAGUGAAAGACGGUUUUGCUGUCACUUAUAGAUGGUUCCGCGCCGCAUUAGCUAGUUGGUAAGGUAACGGCUUACCAAGGCAACGAUGCGUAGCCGACCUGAGAGGGUGAUCGGCCACACUGGAACUGAGACACGGUCCAGACUCCUACGGGAGGCAGCAGUAGGGAAUCUUCCGCAAUGGGCGAAAGCCUGACGGAGCAACGCCGCGUGAGUGAUGAAGGUCUUCGGAUCGUAAAACUCUGUUAUUAGGGAAGAACAAAUGUGUAAGUAACUAUGCACGUCUUGACGGUACCUAAUCAGAAAGCCACGGCUAACUACGUG